CUUCCCAUGAUCCCCAGCCAACCACUGAACUACAAACCACAUCACAUCAGGCUCCUGAGAACUUGCUAGUCAAGCACACCUGUUCACAAUCAGGUCUCCCUUUAUAUAACCCAGCCUUCACCUGUUCAUUGUGAAGGUUUACUGCUGAUUUGUGCUAGCAAUGAUUCAAAGCAUUGUAUAUUUGUGUUUUGAUAUCCUGGUUCUCACUUUAGUUUUGCAAAAAUCCUGUUAUUGUCUCUGCAUAAUGUAGCCUGUUUGUAGAGCAUCUGGCUAUCUACCUGUUUCCCAAUUUGGACUACUUGCCUUGCAGCUUUGGUACAGGUGCACCAAUGCUUUUCAUCAAAUUGCGGUUUGUGAUGUAUUUGCGUUGUGGACACAGUAUCUCACAAACAGAUGUUGGGAGAACGAGAGAGAGAGAGUGUGAGUGAGUACAUUCACUUACCAUGUGCGAUGGAAUUUGGAUUUCUUUUGGGUAUUUUUCCUUGUUUUGCAAAUAUGUGAAUGGGAAACUGCAAGCUUUUCUACGUGACAUUAAAGUUAUUGGUUCAGCAAACAAUUCAGUUAUUACAUUUCAUUAUUCAGGUGUUACUUUUAACAUAUGUAUAUAUACCAUCAGGUUGACGUAAGUACAUGGCUUGCACAACUUCUGUAUCUAUUUAACUUCUAGUUUGUUUACCAGUGUUUGUUUGCCAUUGCUUUUGUACUAGUCUUUUGUUCAUCUCUGUGUUUGUUCAAUAAAACACAGUCCUUGGUCUGUCCUUGUCAUUAUUACACUAACUGUCUAUAGUAAGUGCCAAUAUUUGUACAUUCCUAGGGAAAAAAUGGGCCAAGCCCAAAAUGGCAAAUAUUUAAGCUUUUAAUGGUCUCAACAACAAAUCAUUGGUCAGAAAAUGAGCAAGAAGUAAACAAAUGCACUCCUGAGAGCUCCUGUGCCUCCAUUUGCUGGUUUACGUUUGCUGCAGUGAACUGUUUGUUUGGGGAAAAGCUAGAAACAGGGAAAUUCACUUAUAUAGUCUUCUUGUACACAAAGGCAAAAUCAUGAUAAUGAUUAAAAUGUUUGUGGUAAAAUUCAAACAUGUCUGGUUGUGCAAAACUUUCCAAAAAUAUCUUCUGGGAUGUUUUUUCCUUAAAAGAUUAGUGAUUAUUUGGUUAACUGCCACGUCUGAUGCAGCUCUUCAAGAUCCACAAGGCUUAAACAUUUAAUGAAACCAAAGGGAAAAACUCCCAUACUAACUUCCUUUAUCUAUUUGUUUAAUUCUUGUUAAUUUCCUGACCAAUGAUUUGU